GCCGUAGCGGUCUGCAGGGGGAAUCGCAGAAGCUGGAGUUUCUUAGAGCGCUGCAUGGGUUUGGACAAACAUUAGGGAGAAGCAAACACAAACGAUUCGUGAGUGCAUCGUACGUGUUGUAAGAGCAAGUGAAGCUGAAAGACAUUGACAGUGAAGUGAUGGCUCCCUCUAUCAAUCUCUUCACCUUCCUCGUCCUGUCCCUGGUGGGGGGCAGCUCUUCAUGGGACGAAGCUUCGCCUUGCGGAUCCGGCUCCAUCCUGACAAGGCCCUACACGGCCUUGUGUGAGCUGGAUGCGGUGUGGGGCUUGGUGGUGGUGGUGGCGGCAGCGGCGGCGGCCCUCGCCUCGCUGAUCCUGCUCCUGGUGGUACUGUGUCGCCUGCGGAAGAUCACAGAGGCUGAGGAGCGCAGCGGGGUGGCGCCGCUACUCCUGCUGCUCGCUGCCAUAUUUGGGCUCUGUGGCCUCAGCCUGGGAUACAUCGCUGAGCAGCAAGAGAGCCUCUGCUUCGCCCGGCGUGUCCUGAGGGGGGUGUUGCUUGCUAUCUGCAACACAUGCCUCGUGUUUCAUGGUCUGCGACUGCGCCGGUUGGGACAAGGUGCUCAUAGCCCCAGCACAGGUCAACUGAUGGGGCUGGCGGUGGCCUUGGCCGUGUUGGAUCCGGAGUGGAUCCUUCUAGCCACGAUGUCCACAUGCCAGCCAGCCUGUGAAUACCAGCCGCUGGACUUUGCGCUGGCCACCACUUAUGUGCUGGUCCUGCUCCUGGCAGCACUGGUGGGGGCGGCCUGCAGUCUGUGGAGGCAGCAGCCACGGUGGAGGUGCAGGACCAUGUGGCUGCUCAUCACCUGCCUGGCCUCAGUCCUGCUGUGGGUGGCCUGGAUCACCUUCUGCCUGUAUGGCAACGCGGCGCUUGGCCUGUCCCCAACAUGGGACAACCGGGUACAGGCAGUGGUGCUGCUGGCACAGGCAUGGCUGCUCAUACUGCUGCACGCUGCUCCUGAGCUCCACGCCACCUUACGGCCCCCGUCCCGCAUGAGAGAGGCCAAUUUAGAGGAGGGCCUUUCUCACCUGUAGUUUGGAGCAAACCAGGACUUCGUGUUCAGUGACAACAACUCAGGUAUGGUACUUUGUUUUCGCUUCUUUGACCUACUCUGUGACUCUGUGUGUACUUGAGAGAGAGCAUAGCCCUCGCUCUUUCCUCACAUGGAGCCCCUACUGGAAGUCUGUGGAACAGCAGCAUAUAAACAAGGUCUAUGGACCUUUCCCUGUAACUCAGAUCUCACUUGAGCAGAGCUUAGGUACCAUGGCUGCAUGUGCCCCCCCCCCUAACAAUCCCCCCAAAAAAAAAAUGUGAAGUAUGACUACUGCACUGCUGAAGGAUGUUUACAUGAUCAAUAUCUGUCUCUCUCCUGCAGGUGUCCUCCCCAGCCCCCAGGAAACAUUACAUUUUAAAUAAAUAAUAUAUAUAUAUCAUC